CCUACGGGGGGCAGCAGUAGGGAAUAUUGCUCAAUGGAGGAAACUCUGAACCAGCAACGCCGCGUGGAGGAUGAAGGUUUUCGGAUUGUAAACUUCUUUUGUUAGAGAAGAUAAUGACGGUAUCUAACGAAUAAGAACCGGCUAACUCCGUGCCAGCAGCCGCGGUAAUACGGAGGGUGCAAGCGUUACUCGGAAUCACUGGGCGUAAAGAGCGCGUAGGCGGGAUUUCAAGUCAGAUGUGAAAUCCUAUGGCUUAACCAUAGAACUGCAUUUGAAACUGUUAGUCUUGAGUAUGGGAGAGGUAGGUGGAAUUCUUGGUGUAGGGGUAAAAUGCGUAGAGAUCAAGAGGAAUACUCAUUGCGAAGGCGACCUGCUAGAACAUAACUGACGCUGAGGCGCGAAAGCGUGGGGAGCAAACAGGAUUAGAUACCCCUGUAGUC
rnacentral:rRNA from 1 species